rnacentral:rRNA from 1 species
CCUACGGGUGGCUGCAGUGGGGAAUAUUGGGCAAUGGAGGAAACUCUGACCCAGCAACGCCGCGUGAAGGAUGAAGGUUUUCGGAUUGUAAACUUCUGUCGCGAGGGACGAAGAAUGACGGUACCUCGUAAGAAAGCCCCGGCUAACUACGUGCCAGCAGCCGCGGUAAGACGUAGGGGGCGAGCGUUGUCCGGAAUGACGGGGCGUAAAGGGAGUGUCGGCGGCAAGAUAAGGUAGAGGUGAAAUCCCGCGGCUCAACCGCGGAACUGCCUCUAAAACUAUAUAGCUGGAGUGCAGGAGAGUUGCGUGGAAUUCCUCGUGUAGCGGUUGAAUGCGUAGAUAUUAGGCGG